rnacentral:rRNA from 1 species
CAAAUUUGAAAUCUGGUACUUUCAGUGCCCGAGUUGUAAUUUGUAGAAUUUGUCUUUGAUUAGGUCCUUGUCUAUGUUCCUUGGAACAGGACGUCAUAGAGGGUGAGAAUCCCGUUUGGCGAGGAUACCUUUUCUCUGUAAGACUUUUUCGAAGAGUCGAGUUGUUUGGGAAUGCAGCUCAAAGUGGGUGGUAAAUUCCAUCUAAAGCUAAAUAUUGGCGAGAGACCGAUAGCGAACAAGUACAGUGAUGGAAAGAUGAAAAGAACUUUGAAAAGAGAGUGAAAAAGUACGUGAAAUUGUUGAAAGGGAAGGGCAUUUGAUCAGACAUGGUGUUUUUUGCAUGCACUCGCCUCUCGUGGGCUUGGGCCUCUCAAAAAUUUCACUGGGCCAACAUCAAUUCUGGCAGCAGGAUAAAUCAUUAAGAAUGUAGCUACUUCGGUAGUGUUAUAGCUUUUUGGAAUACUGUUAGCCGGGAUUGAGGACUGCGCUUCGGCAAGGAUGUUGGCAUAAUGGUUAAAUGCCGCCCGUCUUGAAA